GACGAACGCUGGCGGCGUGCCUAAUACAUGCAAGUAGAACGCUGAAGAGAGGAGCUUGCUCUUCUUGGAUGAGUUGCGAACGGGUGAGUAACGCGUAGGUAACCUGCCUUGUAGCGGGGGAUAACUAUUGGAAACGAUAGCUAAUACCGCAUAACAAUGGAUGACACAUGUCAUUUAUUUGAAAGGGGCAAUUGCUCCACUACAAGAUGGACCUGCGUUGUAUUAGCUAGUAGGUGAGGUAAUGGCUCACCUAGGCGACGAUACAUAGCCGACCUGAGAGGGUGGUCGGCCACACUGGGACUGGGACCAGGCCCAGACUCCUACGGGAGGCAGCCGUAGGGAAUCUUCGGCAAUGGGGGCAACCCUGACCGAGCAACGCCGCGUGAGUGAAGAAGGUUUUCGGAUCGUAAAGCUCUGUUGUAAGUCAAGAACGGGUGUGAGAGUGGAAAGUUCACACUGUGACGGUAGCUUACCAGAAAGGGACGGCUAACUACGUG
rnacentral:rRNA from 1 species